UACGUAGGGUGCGAGCGUUGUCCGGAAUUAUUGGGCGUAAAGGGCUCGUAGGCGGUUUGUCGCGUCGGGAGUGAAAACCCAGGGCUUAACCCUGAGCUUGCAGUGGGUACGGGCAGACUAGAGUGCGGUAGGGGAGACUGGAAUUCCUGGUGUAGCGGUGAAAUGCGCAGAUAUCAGGAGGAACACCGGUGGCGAAGGCGGGUCUCUGGGCCGUAACUGACGCUGAGGAGCGAAAGCAUGGGGAGCGAACAGG
rnacentral:rRNA from 1 species